UACGUAGGGGGCAAGCGUUGUCCGGAAUCAUUGGGCGUAAAGAGCGUGUAGGCGGUCCGGUAAGUCCGCUGUGAAAGUCGGGGGCUCAACCCUCGAAUGCCGGUGGAUACUGUCGGGCUAGAGUGCGGAAGAGGCGAGUGGAAGUUCCUGGUGUAGCGGUGAAAUGCGCAGAUAUCAGGAGGAACACCUAUUGCGAAGGCAGCUCGCUGGGACGUAACUGACGCUGGAGGCACGAAAGCGUGGGGAGCAAACAGG
rnacentral:rRNA from 1 species